rnacentral:rRNA from 1 species
UGUAAGUGUAUACCAAAGUUGUUGCAGUUAAAACGCUCGUAGUCGGAAUUUGGCAGUUCCGGAUGUGUGCACGUCGUGUGCGCACUUCGCGGGGAUUGCUUUUGUGGUCUUGCGUAGGAUGAGGCACUUUUAUUAGUGAACGUCCUCACGCAACCACUUUUUACUGUGAGAAAAUCAGAGUGCUCAAAGCAGGCAUUUGCCGUGAAUGUAUUAGCAUGGAAUAAUAGAAUAGGACUUGGUUCUAUUUUGUUGGUUUGUUGGGACUGAGUAAUGAUUAAGAGGGACAGUUGGGGGCAUUUGUAUUUCGGUGCUAGAGGUGAAAUUCUUAGAUUACCGAAAGACAAACUGCUGCGAAAGCGUCUGCCAAGGAUGUUUUCAUUGA